GCCAGACUCCUACGGGAGGCAGCAGUGGGGAAUAUUGGGCAAUGGGCGCAAGCCUGACCCAGCAAUGCCGCGUGAAGGAAGAAGGCCCUCGGGUUGUAAACUUCUUUUAUCAGGGACGAAGGAUGUGACGGUACCUGAUGAAUAAGCUCCGGCUAACUACGUGCCAGCAGCCGCGGUAAUACGUAGGGAGCAAGCGUUAUCCGGAUUUACUGGGUGUAAAGGGCGCGUAGGCGGGAUGGCAAGUCAGAUGUGAAAUCCAGGGGCUCAACCCCUGAACUGCAUUUGAAACUGUGUUUCUUGAGUGCUGGAGAGGCAAUCGGAAUUCCGUGUGUAGCGGUGAAAUGCGUAGAUAUACGGAGGAACACCAGUGGCGAAGGCGGAUUGCUGGACAGUAACUGACGCUGAGGCGCGAAAGCGUGGGGAGCAAACAGGAUUAGAUACCCCAGUA
rnacentral:rRNA from 1 species